CUAGUAACGGCGGAGUGAACGGGGAUAAGCCCAGCACCGAAGCCUGUGUCCUGUUGGAUACUAGGCACUGUGGUGUUUAGGUGGUGACAUGUCAGCUUAUCUGCUGCCCCAAGUCCAGUAAUGAAUAUGGCUCUUAUAUUGGCCCAGAGAGGGUGAAAGGCCCGUGGGGGUAGUGAUGGUAGGUUGACUUGUUCCACCUUGGAGUCGGGUUGUUUGUGAAUGCAGCCCAAAGUGGGUGGUAGACUCCAUCUAAGGCUAAAUACUGGCACGAGUCCGAUAGCGAACAAGUACCGUGAGGGAAAGUUGAAAAGUACUCUGAAGAGAGAGUAAACAGUGCGUGAAACCGCUGAGAGGUAAACGGGUGUAGUCAAGCUGCAAGCCCUAGGGAUUCAGCCGAUCAGUGUGGUGUGUGUGCAUGAGCACAUUUUUGGUCUGUCGCGGUCUGCCUAAACUGGUGGGCUUGGCUCCUCGUACUUGGGCGUCAAAUGGAUGCUAAGCGCCGUGCAGGAUCCAAAGGCUGGUCGGUGCACUUCCUUAGGGUGUAAGCCACGACCGCCGUUGCUGCCGGUCUGCCGGGAUCAACCUUCUUGGUUGGGCUAUUUGGCUCGGCCAGGUCGGGAUGGCAGGUAGCCAGGUGUGUACGCUCGCGUACAUAUCGGGUGUUAUAGCCGAUCCUUGGGCGGUACAUAAACUGUGCAGUUCGGUGGAGAUGUCGACGUGUUGGUAACGGCUUAUGUGCUAAAGUCUGCCGGCGUGGUCAACGUCUGGCUGCCUGUAGUCGAUGCAAAAUUCGGCCUGGCGGCGGCUUGUUCACGGUGUAGCGGGCGGCGGCGUAAGCUAGCCAUCGGCCCUUGUGCCGGUUCGUCGUCU
rnacentral:rRNA from 1 species